rnacentral:tRNA from 1 species
GCCGGCGUGGCGAAACUGGUAGACGCACGGGACUCAAAAUCCCGCGGAGCUCGCCUCCAUGUGGGUUCGAUUCCCUCCGCCGGCA